rnacentral:rRNA from 1 species
CGGACGGGUGAGUAACACGUGGAUAACCUACCUAUAAGACUGGGAUAACUUCGGGAAACCGGAGCUAAUACCGGAUAAUAUAUUGAACCGCAUGGUUCAAUAGUGAAAGACGGUUUUGCUGUCACUUAUAGAUGGAUCCGCGCCGCAUUAGCUAGUUGGUAAGGUAACGGCUUACCAAGGCGACGAUGCGUAGCCGACCUGAGAGGGUGAUCGGCCACACUGGAACUGAGGCACGGUCCAG